rnacentral:rRNA from 1 species
AUUGAACGCUGGCGGCAGGCCUAACACAUGCAAGUCGAGCGGAGCGGCGGACGGGUGAGUAAUGCUAAGGAAUCUGCCUGGUAGUGGGGGAUAACGUACGGAAACGGGAGCUAAUACCGCAUACUAUCAGAUGAGUCUAGGCCGGAAUAGCUAGCUGGAGGGGUAAUGGCCUAACAAGGCGACGACCCGUAACUGGUCUGAGAGGAUGAUCAGUCACACUGGAACUGAGACACGGUCCAGACUCCUACGGGAGGCAGCAGUGGGGAAUAUUGGACAAUGGGCGAAAGCCUGAUGCAGCCAUGCCGCGUGUGUGAAGAAGGUCUUCGGAUUGUAAAGCACGUUAAGUUGGGAGGCGUUACCAGCAGAAUAAGCACCGGCUAACUUCGUGCCAGCAGCCGCGGUAAUAC